GCCAGACUCCUACGGGAGGCAGCAGUGGGGAAUAUUGCACAAUGGGGGAAACCCUGAUGCAGCGACGCCGCGUGAGUGAAGAAGUAUUUCGGUAUGUAAAGCUCUAUCAGCAGGGAAGAAAUAGCGACCUUUGGGUCGCCAGACGGUACCUGAUUAAGAAGCCCCGGCUAACUACGUGCCAGCAGCCGCGGUAAUACGUAGGGGGCAAGCGUUAUCCGGAUUUACUGGGUGUAAAGGGAGCGUAGGCGGUAAGGCAAGUCUGAUGUGAAAGGCCAGGGCUCAACCCUGGGACUGCAUUGGAAACUGUUUAACUGGAGUGUCGGAGAGGCAAGUGGAAUUCCUAGUGUAGCGGUGAAAUGCGUAGAUAUUAGGAGGAACACCAGUGGCGAAGGCGGCUUGCUGGACGAUGACUGACGCUGAGGCUCGAAAGCGUGGGGAGCAAACAGGAUUAGAUACCCCUGUA
rnacentral:rRNA from 1 species